rnacentral:rRNA from 1 species
GGGUGAGUAACACGUGAGAAUUUACCUUUAGGAGGGGGACAACAAUUGGAAACGAUUGCUAAUACCCCAUAUGCUUUCGAGUGAAAUGGUUUUUCCGCCUAAAGAAAAGCUCGCGGCUGAUUAGCUUGUUGGUAAGGUAAUGGCUUACCAAGGCGACGAUCAGUAUCUGGUUUGAGAGGACGAUCAGACACACUGGAACUGAGACACGGUCCAGACUCCUACGGGAGGCAGCAGUGGGGAAUUUUCCGCAAUGGGCGAAAGCCUGACGGAGCAAUACCGCGUGAGGGGAGACUGCCUAUGGGUUGUAAACCUCUUUUUUCAGGGAGGAACAAAAUGACGUGUACCUGAAGAAUAAGCAUCGGCUAACUCCGUGCCAGCAGCCGCGGUAAGACGGAGGAUGCAAGUGUUAUCCGGAAUUACUGGGCGUAAAGCGUCUGUAGGUGGUUUAGUAAGUCAACUGUUAAAUCUUGAGGCUCAACUUCAAAUCAGCAGUCGAAACUAUUAGACUAGAGUAUAGUAGGGGUAAAGGGAAUUUC